ensembl:lncRNA
UUUGGAAUUAAAUACAUUUUUAAAAUCUUAAAAUAGCUUCAAGAUGUAUUUGAAAAGCAAGUUGGCUGCAUAUUGUACUGUCUCCAAUAAAACACUCCAAUUAUUCUUUUGAUACAGAAUUCCAUUUUGGAAAGUUCUAAACAAAUGGUAUGUGCCAACAUGCCUUUAAAUGUACUUAAGGCUUUUUUUAUCACAUCUAGUACUGAAUAGGUCUGGGAAAGAUUUUGUAUCUCUAAGCUAGUCUUUGAGUUUUUAAAUUACAGGGGCCAGCACUGGAACAAUAGUAAUUCUGGUCCACGCAGCCAUGCAUGCUGCAGGAAAUCCUUCAGCUUUGUCUCUGGGUAUGCUGUUGCUGUUAGUAUCUUCAUGCAGCUUUAGAAACAUUUUAUGUUUUCUUAUGCACUAACUUCAUUAAAACGAUUUUGUUUCAGGCUGAAAGGAUUUCUGCUUCUCCAAUUCAGAAAUAUUUAACUUAAAAAAAAAAAAAUAAUUCGCAAGUGAGUAAGCAGAGGCUUUACCAGUAAGCAUGUGCUUCAAGUCAAACUUGCAUUUCCUUCGUUCUUAGCUGGGUUCCACCUACGUGGUAGGACACAGCACUACCUCCAUCUGCCUUUAAGUAAUUCAGCAUUACAACAUUCUUCCUAAACCAUGCAAUCUCUGGUUUAAAAAAAAAAUUAAAAAAAAUACCACCAACCCUCCAAACCCACGACCUAAUGUAAUAAAUGUUUCCUCUAGCCCCAUGCUAGAUGUGCCUUUAAUGCUAAUUAAGCAGCACAGCUGCUUAAUUAGCCAACAUUGGCUGGCAAAACCCAGCCGUGAGGAAGGUUUGUCUUCCUUCCUUCCCUGGGAGAGGAGGGCUGCAGCUAGAGAAGGGGUGAGCCCUUUAGGGCCGUGUGGGGGCAUUUCCACCCCUGUGCUGGUGCCCUGGGCACCUCUUCUCUGAUCCUAGGUCAGCAAGUGGAGGAGACGAUGUGACAUGGUGAGGGACAAGGAGCGCAGAGAGGAUGGCUUGGCUGGGUUUCAGCAUUUGUGACUUCAGACGCUUGGCAGCCUGCAGCUGAGCUUGGAAAAUGGGCGUUUUUUAAAUGUUACUCAGAAGGUGAAGUUUCUAUAUAUUCCUUCUGCAGAGGAUGUUUAGUAAUGUGCUUAUGGAUGCUGCCCUUGGACCCAGGGGGAUGGGCUCUUGAAAAAUCAUUCUCCUGAUCUGGAGCUGGAGGGAAACUUCUGCCCUUGGGGGGGGACAAAAGAUGUGAGCAGGUACGGAGGAGCUCUGCUCCCCCUGCAAAACCCAGCAAGGGAAACCAGCCUGGAAACGCUAGCUGAGCAGCUUGGCAGCCAGCUUUUACUUUGACAGGGGAGCACAGCACAGGGUCAUUCCUGCGUCUGCUAGACAUUGUCACACCACAGGCAAAUGCUGAGCUAAUUUCCUCCCAUUGUCUUUGGGGAAGCGCGAGUGCUGCAGAGGGGAUGUCGAGGUCCCCUGGAAGCUCGUGCUGUGCCUCCUUCCAUAGUUAAACAAACCUCUGCUGCUUCCCUGGUGAGCCUUCCGAGAGGCGUUCUGCCGAGACUCCCAUGUCUCAGCCACGGCGGAGGAGUUCUUAUUGCUUCCUUGUGGGGGUAGCUAAUGCCGAAAUAAUUUCACUCUUGGCAGACGCAGCCUAGGAGUGAUAAAAGGGAGCCAAAGGAGUGUACAGGAGUUGCUAGGCUGUACUCCCUAAAUUCCUGGAGCCAGCACCACCUCUCGCUUUUCUUCUUCCUCUCCUAAUCUUUCAGCC